rnacentral:rRNA from 1 species
CCUACGGGUGGCAGCAGUCGAGAAUCAUUCACAAUGGGGGAAACCCUGAUGGUGCGACGCCGCGUGGGGGAAUGAAGGUCUUCGGAUUGUAAACCCCUGUCAUGUGGGAGCAAAUUAAAAAGAUAGUACCACAAGAGGAAGAGACGGCUAACUCUGUGCCAGCAGCCGCGGUAAUACAGAGGUCUCAAGCGUUGUUCGGAAUCACUGGGCGUAAAGCGUGCGUAGGCUGUUUCGUAAGUCGUGUGUGAAAGGCGCGGGCUCAACCCGCGGACGGCACAUGAUACUGCGAGACUAGAGUAAGGGAGGGGGAGCCGGAAUUCGCGGUGUAGCAGUGAAAUGCGUAGAUAUCGAGAGGAACACUCGUUGCGAAGGCGGGUUCCUGGACAUUAACUGACGCUGAGGCACGAAGGCCAGGGGAGCGAAAGGGAUUAGAUACCCCAGUAGUC